rnacentral:rRNA from 1 species
AAUUUUGGACACUGGGGGAAACCCUGAUCCAGCGCUCCGGCGUGUAUGAUGAGGGCCUUCGGGUUGUGAAAUACUUUUGGCAGAGAGGCAAAGGUAUCUCCUGAUACGAGAUACUGCGGCCGGUAUCUGUAGAUUCAGCACCGGCUAACUACGUGCCGGUAGCCGCGGUAAUCCGUAGGGUGCAAGCGUUAAUCGGAAUUACUGGGUGUAAAGCGUGUGUAGGCGGUUCGGAAAGUAAGAUGUGAAAUCCCAGGGCUCAACCCAGGAACUGCACUUGUAACUGCAGAGCUAGAGUAUGGCAGAGGGGGGUAGAAUUCCACGUGUAGCAGUGAAAUGCGUAGAUAUGAGGAGGAACACCGAUGGCGAAGGCAGCCCCCUGGGAUAAUACUGACGCUCAGACACGAAAGCGUGGGGAGCAAAC